rnacentral:rRNA from 1 species
AACGAACGCUGGCGGCAUGCCUAACACAUGCGAGUCGAACGAGACCUUCGGGUCUAGUGGCGCACGGGUGCGUAACGCGUGGGAACCUGCCCUUAGGUUCGGAAUAACUCCCCGAAAGGGGUGCUAAUACCGGAUAAUGUCUUCGGACCAAAGAUUUAUCGCCUUUGGAUGGGCCCGCGUUGGAUUAGCUAGUUGGUAGGGUAAAAGCCUACCAAGGCGACGAUCCAUAGCUGGUCUGAGAGGAUGAUCAGGCACACUGGGACUGAGACACGGCCCAGACUCCUACGGGAGGCAGCAGUGGGGAAUAUUGGACAAUGGGCGAAAGCCUGAUCCAGCAAUGCCGCGUGAGUGAUGAAGGCCUUAGGGUUGUAAAGCUCUUUUACCCGGGAUGAUAAUGACAGUACCGGGAGAAUAAGCUCCGGCUAACUCCGUG